rnacentral:rRNA from 1 species
UGGGGAAUAUUGCACAAUGGGCGCAAGCCUGAUGCAGCCAUGCCGCGUGUGUGAAGAAGGCCUUCGGGUUGUAAAGCACUUUCAGCGAGGAGGAAGGUGGUGAGCUUAAUACGCUCAUCAAUUGACGUUACUCGCAGAAGAAGCACCGGCUAACUCCGUGCCAGCAGCCGCGGUAAUACGGAGGGUGCAAGCGUUAAUCGGAAUUACUGGGCGUAAAGCGCACGCAGGCGGUUUGUUAAGUCAGAUGUGAAAAUCCCCGGGCUCAACCUGGGAACUGCAUUUGAAACUGGCAAGCUAGAGUCUCGUAGAGGGGGGUAGAAUUCCAGGUGUAGCGGUGAAAUGCGUAGAGACCUGGAGGAAUACCGGUGGCGAAGGCGGCCCCCUGGACGAAGACUGACGCUCAGGUGCGAAAAGCGUGGGGCAGCAAACAGGAUUAGAUACCCUGGUAGUCCACGCUGUAAAACGAUGUCGAUUUUGGAGGUUGUGCCCUUGAGGCGUGGCUUCCGGAGCUAACGCGUUAAAUCGACCGCCUGGGGAGUACGGCCGCAAGGUUAAAACUCAAAUGAAUUGAC